UCGAACUGCGCGGGAUCUUCACGACGGUAAAGCACAAGAAUCAGAGAGGUUAUAGACAACGAAAGUGAUCCGAGUCGAUCGGUGAAGAAGCUGCACUGUCAAAGAGAAAGAACACAAGCGAGCAAGCAGGGAGACGAAAAAAGGUCUGUUGACAUUGGGCGAAAGACAAAAUGAUGAAGGUGCGCGGAGACAGAAAGAUGGUAGCAGAAGCUCGUAGUAUACCGAACUGGCGCCCGAUGGAUUAGAA
ensembl:ncRNA K07C5.15 ncRNA